rnacentral:rRNA from 1 species
AGUACCUACGGGGGGCAGCAGUGAGGAAUAUUGGUCAAUGGUCGGGAGACUGAACCAGCCAAGCCGCGUGAGGGAUGAAGGUACAGAGUAUCGUAAACCUCUUUUGUCAGGGAACAAAGGCGGGGACGUGUCCCCGGAUGAGUGUUCCUGAAGAAAAAGCAUCGGCUAACUCCGUGCCAGCAGCCGCGGUAAUACGGAGGAUGCGAGCGAUAUCCGGAUUUAUUGGGUUUAAAGGGUGCGCAGGCGGUCUGUUAAGUAAGCGGUCAAAGCCCGGGGCUCAAACCCGGCCCCCCGUUGAAACUGGG